rnacentral:lncRNA from 1 species
CGAAGAUCUCCUUGGCGUACUCAGCAUUGGCAUAGGGGUCUCCCAGCUGCUCCUUGUCUAUGUCCUCCACCACUGGGACCUGCUGCACAGGCUCCUCGGGCACAGAAUCUUUCUCAGGCUCCACAGGAACAUCUGCUGGGGGGGUUUUCCUCAAUGACUUUUUCAGGUUGAUCUCAUUGUUCUUGGCCACUAUGGGGGCAGGGGGGGCCCUCGUUGCUUUGCGGGCGGGAGCUUUCACCCCCUCCUUCUUCCCUGUCACCACCUGGUUCUUGUGAGCGUUGGUGAUGUCCCCAAACGCUGACCUCUUCUUGGGCCCUCCCUGGGGCGAGGAUGGGGAGCGCUUGGCCUGGCAGCCCUCCUCCUUCUCGGGGGGGACAUUCUCGGUAACGGAGGGCGCCUUGCUGGCUCGGGGCUGCUUGCUGCUCUGUGCCUUGCUGCUGCGUGCCACCGGCAUCCUCCUCCUCGGCCUGGGCACUGCAGGCCACUUUAUCGCACCGCCGCUCACCUGCACGCAGCCGCCGCCGGCCCCGGCUCUUUUGAAAGUAGCAGCGCGGCGACGGCUGCCGGCACUGGUCGAGCC